rnacentral:misc_RNA from 1 species
GGAAGGAUCAUUAACACUUACUGGAUUCGUCCCUUUUACCACCUGUGGAACAUUUUGUCUACCCUUUUUCACCAACCUCGAAACGAAACAAUAUUGGAAUUUUAUUAAAAAUUACAACUCUUAGCAAUGGAUAUCUUGGUUCACACAACGAUGAAGAACGCAGCGAAAUGCGAUACGUAAUGCGAAUUGCAGAAUUCAGUGAAUCAUCAAAUCUUUGAACGCAAGUUGCGCUCUUGGGAUACGCCCGAGAGCAUGCCUCUUUGAGUAUCGGUUUCUGUUUAUUUUUUUAUACUGGGAUUUUGCCUCGUCUGCAGGUAAUAUUUUCAAACUCGCCCCAACCCGUGAUCGUUUGGGAAUAUAUAUCGACGCGGUGAGCCCACCAAAAAAUACAGAUCUCAAAUGAGGUAAGACUACCCGCUGAAUUUAAGCAUAUAAUUAAGCGGAGGAAAAGAAACUAACAAGGAUUCCCUCAGUAACGGCGAGUGAAGCGGGAAGAGCUCAAACCGAAAAUCUCCGUAGCAAUACGGCGAAUUGUGGUCUAUUGAAGCGUGUCUCAGCGAACGGCCCCGGCCCAAAUCAAUUGGAACAUUGUAUCGGAGAGGGUGAGAAUCCCGUAUCUGGUUGGGUGCCCGUAGCGUACGAGCCGCUCUCGAAGAGUCGGAUUGCUUGGGAGUGCAGUCCUAAGUGGGUGGUAAAUUUCAUCUAAAGCUAAAUAUCUGUGUGAGACCGAUAGCGAACAAGUACCGUGAGGGAAAGAUGAAAAGAACUUUGAAAAGAGAGUUAAAAAGUACUUGAAAUUGCUAAGAACGAAGGGAUGGCGACUAGUAAUGCUCAGGUGUACCCCGUUACGUGCCAAGUCGGUCGGUUGCGCAUUCCGCAAGGUUGCGCUGACGGUCGAUGCAACUCGUGGCGGGUCCGGUGCACUUUGGCAAAGUCAGAAUGGAUUCGGGUGCGGUGGAAAAAUCAGACGGCAAGGUGCCUGCUGGAGCAAUCCGGCAGAACUUAUAGGCCGGCUGAUCGACAUUGUCCCGGAUUGAGGUGAUAAAGCACGCGCUCUAAGCUAAGGUGCCUCGCUCGCUGUCUUGGUGAAACCGUCGGGGAACAAAGUUCCGUUUCGGCCCGGCCAAACACCGUUGCGAACGCUCAUUCGUCGUGCUCAUGAUUCUGACGAAAUGGUCGUCAUUCACCCGUCUUGAAACACGGACCAAGGAGUCUUACAUAUAUGCGAGUAAUCAAGUGGUAAACUUGAAUGCGCAAUGAAAGUGAUUGAAUGUGAGCCCGUUAAACGGCGCAACAUCGGGCGGCUAAAAUAAUUGUACGACCAUGAGCAUAUCUGUAGGGACCCGAAAGAUGGUGAACUAUGCUUGGGCAGGAUGAAGCCAGGGGAAACUCUGGUGGAAGUCCGAAGCGAUACUGACGUGCAAAUCGUUCGUCUGAUCUGAGUAUAGGGGCGAAAGACUAAUCGAACUAUCUAGUAGCUGGUUCCCUC